AGCGAACGCUGGCGGCAUGCCUAACACAUGCAAGUCUGACGGGCGGGGCUUUCGGGCCUUGUCAGUGGCGGACGGGUGAGGAGCGCGUAGGAACGUAUCCAAGGGUGGGGGACAACCGCGGGAAACUGCGGCUAAUACCGCAUGGGGCCGUCUAGGGAGGACCUGAAAGGGGAGGACCUGGGGGCCGAAAGGCUGGGGCGAACCUAGUCGCCGGUGGAGCGGCCUGCGUCCGAUUAGCUAGUUGGUGGGGUGAUGGCUUACCAAGGCAGCGAUCGGUAGCUGGUCUGAGAGGAUGAUCAGCCACACUGGGACUGAGACACGGCCCAGACUCCUACGGGAGGCAGCAGUGGGGAGUAUUGGACAAUGGGCGAAAGCCUGAUCCAGCAAUGCCGCGUGGGGGAUGAC
rnacentral:rRNA from 1 species